CUAGGGGGCUGGGCGGCCGCGGCUCACGCAAGUGAGGCGAGGAAAGUCCGGGCUCCACGGAACGACGGUGCCGGGUAACGCCCGGCCAGGGGUUCGCCCCUGAGGGACAGUGCCACAGAAAGCAUACCGCCCGGCUUAGGCCGGGUAAGGUCGAAAGGGUGCGGCAAGAGCGCACCGCGUCGCUGGCAACAGUGGCGGCACGGCAAACCCCACCGGGUGCAAGACCGAAUAGGGGCGGCAUAUGGGCCUGUUCCGGCUCGUCGCCCGGGUUGGUCGCUUGAGGCAUGGGGCAACCCAUGUCCUAGAAGAAUGGUCGCCCAGGCGCCGCCAGGCGCUGGACAGAACCCGGCUUACAGGUCCCCUAGCAUU
rnacentral:RNase_P_RNA from 1 species